AGUGAACGCUGGCGGUAGGCCUAACACAUGCAAGUCGAACGGCAGCACAGUAAGAGCUUGCUCUUACGGGUGGCGAGUGGCGGACGGGUGAGGAAUACAUCGGAAUCUACUUUUUCGUGGGGGAUAACGUAGGGAAACUUACGCUAAUACCGCAUACGACCUACGGGUGAAACCAGGGUAUCUUCGGACCUUGCGCGAUUGAAUGAGCCGAUGUCGGAUUAGCUAGUUGGCGGGGUAAAGGCCCACCAAGGCGACGAUCCGUAGCUGGUCUGAGAGGAUGAUCAGCCACACUGGAACUGAGACACGGUCCAGACUCCUACGGGAGGCAGCAGUGGGGAAUAUUGGACAAUGGGCGAAAGCCUGAUCCAGCCAUACCGCGUGGGUGAAGAAGGCCUUCGGGUUGUAAAGCCCUUUUGUUGGGAAAGAAAAGCAGCAGGUUAAUACCCCGCUGUUCUGACGGUACCCAAAGAAUAAGCAACGGCUAACUUCGUG
rnacentral:rRNA from 1 species